rnacentral:lncRNA from 1 species
AGAUGCACUUGAUGUAUUCAAAGACUAAUUUAAGAGAUUAAUUUCAAAACAUAUAAUAUGACUUAAAGUGGGAGGAAACUUAUUGGGGGGGAGACAGGCAGGGGAGAACACGGAGCAUUUCACAUUGGAGAUUUCAAAUCUAUUUACACUGAAGUCCAAGAAAAUAAAUUAGUGGUUUCUUGUUUAAUAAAAUAAAGACACCCGAGAACACUGCUGAUCUUAGCAAAACGAUCUGGAUCAGCUUGUAAUCCAAUGCAGAUGUGAGAGGGUGGAAGACGGACCCCCAGCCUUUCCUAAAAACUCCCCCGAUAUUCUCACGACAACGAUUAGCCCCCACUUAUUGUUGUUGGCCACAGCCAAACAGCAGCUGGCCCAGCUCAGCUUCAGCUUGGAAAACCAAUAGAGAGGCCUGUUUCAUUAAACAGAGAUUUAUUGGUGUUAGAGGGUUUUUCUUAAAGAGCUUGUUUUUGAGAGGUGAGCUCAGCGUGGUAUUCAUCUUCACUCUUCCUGCGAUGUACACAGUGGGGGGCAAAUCCAAAGGAAGGAGUGGAAGACAGCAAGGAGCACAGGCAUCUUGUGUUGUGUUGCCUUCACUUCUGAACCUGAAUGGGGCAGAUUCCAGCAUACACAAACACAAAGGCAAUACCUAGAAACAACCAUAACACAGAUAAAGGUAAAGUCUUCCCCUUCUGGCUCUGGGGGUUGGUGCUCAUCUCCAUUUCUAAGCGGAAGAGCCUGUGUUGUCUGUAGACACCUCCAAGGUCAUGUGGCCAUCAUGACUGCAUGGAGCACCGUUUCCUUCCUGCAGAAGCAGUACCUAUUGAUCUACUCACAUUUGCAUGUUUUUGAACUGCUAGUUUGGCAAAAGCUGGGGCUAACAGUGGGAGCUCACUCCAUCCCGCAGAUUUGAACCGCCAACCUUCUGGUCAGUAAGUUCAGCAGCUCAGCGGUUUAACCCAUUGUGGCACCAUGGCUACUACAUGAAAUGAUGCUUUUCAGAUUUGAAGGUAACAUUCAUAUAUGUAUUUCUAACAUUACAGUGUAUCAGCAUACUCCUAAAUAAGAGGGUUCAGUGUGUCUAGCAGGGACAGGG